UACGUAGGGGGCUAGCGUUGUCCGGAAUCAUUGGGCGUAAAGCGCGCGUAGGCGGCCAGAUAAGUCCGGUGUGAAAGUCACAGGCUCAACCUGUGAAUGCCGCUGGAAACUGUCUGGCUAGAGUCCGGAAGGGGCGAGUGGAAUUCCUGGUGUAGCGGUGAAAUGCGCAGAUAUCAGGAGGAACACCGGUGGCGAAGGCGGAUCUCUGGGCCUUGCCUGACGCUGAGGCGCGAAAGCUAGGGGAGCGAACAGG
rnacentral:rRNA from 1 species